rnacentral:misc_RNA from 1 species
GGAGAAGAUAGCUUCUGAUAUGUAGAAUCAACAACCAGUAGUCCGGCAGUAUCAGCCAGCUGAGCCAAUUCCUUGAGUGAUUCCUCUAUACCAAAUGAAUCUUCUGUAUCACCUUUGCACGCAACACCCACUAGGUAGGCUUUCUCUUCAAAAACCUCUUUACCAUUACGUAGCUUGAAUCUACUAGCAUUUUCAUCUUCCUCAUCCAAUUUUUCCUUGUUCUCACUCUUACUUAUCC